rnacentral:rRNA from 1 species
ACGAUGAAGAGUUUGAUCCUGGCUCAGGAUGAACGCUAGCGGCAGGCUUAACACAUGCAAGUCGAGGGGUAGAGCACUUCGGUGCUUGAGACCGGCGCACGGGUGCGUAACGCGUAUGCAAUCUACCUUUUACAGGGGGAUAGCCCAGAGAAAUUUGGAUUAAUACCCCAUAGUAUAGUGAGUUGGCAUCAACCUGCUAUUAAAGUCACAACGGUAAAAGAUGAGCAUGCGUCCCAUUAGCUAGUUGGUAAGGUAACGGCUUACCAAGGCAACGAUGGGUAGGGGUCCUGA